AUUGAACGCUGGCGGCAUGCCUAACACAUGCAAGUCGAACGAGUGGCGGACGGGUGAGUAAUGUCUUGGAAACUGCCUGAUGUAGGGGGAUAACUACUGGAAACGGUAGCUAAUACCGCAUACCAUCAGAUGUGCCCAGAGGGGAUUAGCUAGUUGGUGGGGUAACGGCUCACCAAGGCGCCGAUCCCUAGCUGGUCUGAGAGGAUGACCAGCCACACUGGGACUGAGACACGGUCCAGACUCCUACGGGAGGCAGCAGUGGGGAAUAUUGCACAAUGGGCGAAAGCCUGAUGCAGCCAUGCCGCGUGUAUGAAGAAGGCCUUCGGGUUGUAAAGUACUUUCAGCAGGGAGGCGUUACCCACAGAAGAAGCCCCGGCUAACUCCGUGCCAGCAGCCGCGGUAAUUC
rnacentral:rRNA from 1 species